rnacentral:SRP_RNA from 1 species
UUCCGGGGCUGUUGAUAAAUUGAUGCCCAACUCCGUGAGGUCCGGAAGGAAGCAGCGGUCAGCAUUUGGUUUAUGCAGCAGUUCCCGGUUUUUU